CCUACGGGGGGCAGCAGUGGGGAAUAUUGGACAAUGGGAGCAACCCUGAUCCAGCCAUGCCGCGUGUGUGAAGAAGGCCCUCGGGUUGUAAAGCACUUUCAGUGAGGAAGAACGCCUGGUGGUUAAUACCCAUCAGGAAAGACAUCACUCACAGAAGAAGCACCGGCUAACUCCGUGCCAGCAGCCGCGGUAAUACGGAGGGUGCGAGCGUUAAUCGGAAUUACUGGGCGUAAAGCGCGCGUAGGUGGCUUGAUAAGCCGGUUGUGAAAGCCCCGGGCUCAACCUGGGAACGGCAUCCGGAACUGUCAAGCUAGAGUGCAGGAGAGGAAGGUAGAAUUCCCGGUGUAGCGGUGAAAUGCGUAGAGAUCGGGAGGAAUACCAGUGGCGAAGGCGGCCUUCUGGACUGACACUGACACUGAGGUGCGAAAGCGUGGGUAGCAAACAGGAUUAGAUACCCGUGUAGUC
rnacentral:rRNA from 1 species